UGUUCUCCUACCUUCCCAUUUAUUUUGUGCCUUUUUUUCCCAGUUCAUUCUUCCUCGGCGAGGGGCGGACCUUGAGGCACACCUGCAGCUAAUCAGUCCAUGGACUAUUUAAGCUUGGCACAGACAGCUGUGCCUUGCUGGUUAUUGUUCCCUGUUCCUUCCACGUCGCAUGCGUUUGCUUGACCUCCAAGUCCGGCAGACAGAGGGCGGGUGCAGGCAAACACUUCCUCUCUCCACGAAGUUACCUCCUGUCUCUGGGAAUCCAUUUCCUGUUCGCUGUUACUACAACAGCACUUAACAGCAUUCUCCUGGACCUGGAGUGUUUGCAGGGCAUUUGGUGCGAGCGGCACUCAGAAUGUCUUCCUCUGAAGGUAUAAAGAAGUCUGCCAUGAUCAUCACCAUGUUUGUUUAUAUUGUGAGCUCCGGUGAGCUUAGUGGAAGUUACAACCGCC